UAAAUUGCCUAGGGAAGUUGUGGAAUUUCCAUCGUUGGAGAUUUUUAAGAGCAAGUUAGACAAACACCUGUAAGGGAUGGUCUAGAUAAUACUUAGUCCUGCCAUGAGUGCAGGGGACUGUACUUGAAGACCUCUCUAGGUCCCUUCCAAUUCUGGAAUUUG